rnacentral:rRNA from 1 species
AACGGACGCUGGCGGCAGGCUUAACACAUGCAAGUCGAGCGCCCCGCAAGGGGAGCGGCAGACGGGUGAGUAACACGUGGGAACGUACCUUUUGCUACGGAAUAGCUCCGGGAAACUGGAAUUAAUACCGUAUGUGCCCUUCGGGGGAAAGAUUUAUCGGCAAAAGAUCGGCCCGCGUCUGAUUAGCUAGUUGGUGGGGUAAUGGCCUACCAAGGCGACGAUCAGUAGCUGGUCUGAGAGGAUGAUCAGCCACACUGGGACUGAGACACGGCCCAGACUCCUACGGGAGGCAGCAGUGGGGAAUAUUGGACAAUGGGGGCAACCCUGAUCCAGCCAUGCCGCGUGAGUGAUGAAGGCCUUCGGGUUGUAAAGCUCUUUUGGCGGGGACGAUGAUGACGGUACCCGCAGAAUAAGCCCCGGCUAACUUCGUGCCAGCAGCCGCCGUAACAC